CUUCGCAACUCGCAACACCAGGGCCAAUUGGCCCGGGAGAGACAAAGCACAUAACGCACCGACCGUAGAACAUGGGUAACGAUAAGUUUUAAUUAAAUCGAGACCGAGGGUACGACGACGUGCGUGUUGAUAGUUCUGACUCCGCCGCAAGAAGACGCUCCCCGGGUGUUUGGGGAACGCUGGACACAUACCCACACAGCGAGAUGGAUGCUUACACGAAGUAUCGUUCGGUACAAAUUAUACAAAACGACCCGUUCGCCUUCGCCGGCAACGUUGGCCCGGGAGCUGGUAUGGAUCUCCAGCAACAGCUAGUUACGAUGCCCUGUACCCUCCACAACUUAGCAGCGCCCCGCGAGGUAUGCGAAGCCACUGCGACGCUACUCCUGCGGCGGCUGCAUCCGAAAACAACAGGGAACUAGAAAUAUUGGAGCCGGAAUAGCCAGCUGGUAUGUGUCACACAAAGAUCAUCAGUCGGUCAUCUCUUAAGACGCUGUCGUUUGUUCGGUGCAGUAUGUCUCGCCGAGGCUAUCGAGUUGGGGAGGCAGAGACAUUCCGGCCGAUCGAUAAGCCGGUCAAUUCCUGCUCCGGGCACGUACACCGGAAUAUGGAACACCGCGCUAUCGAAUCAUUAUCGCACACGGAACGCCAGCCAGCGGGCGCAUUCAGCAGCAGCAACAACAACAAACGACAACAUCAACAGUGGUGACUAGACCUUGUCGCUCCCGACUCCCCCGCCCCACCUCUUCUCCCUUCCCCUCCCCGCAGCUCGUUCCGUUUAAUGUAAACAAACAGAAGCACUACAAACGCACGAGCCAAAAAAAUACCUCGAAGCCGCGGUUUCGAUUUCAACACCGUUCUCCGGGCACAUUUACAUUUGACUUUAUGAUUUUCCAUCAAUUUGUUAAAUUGGACAAAGCUGGAGAACUUGCAGUUAGGAACUCGGCGAAAAGCAAAACAACAAACUUAUUAUGUAUAAUGAAUGAUAAUCUUUGUAGCGACAA